GGCCAAAUGAUGGGGCGGGAGGGGGUACAUCCAGAGAUAUUUUUUUCUGUUAAGAAGCUGGAACGCCCAUGCAUCAAUCUAAAAAUGGGCUCUAAAGAGGCAGUGUCAACAUUAUCAGUCACCAAAAAUCAGUCAGGUCCCCUGAAAGAGCAGUCAGAGCUCUUCACUGCUGGGCCAUCUCCCCAGGCCCUUGUUUUUAAAACAGAAUCCCAAAUGUUGGAUUGACCAAUGAAAACUCAGGAGCCAAAUGCCAAAGUGAAAGCCGGCCAGCUCAGAGAGGCAGAGAAAGCAGCCAGCUGACCUUCCCCAGUUCCCCUUCUCCACACUGUCUUAAAAACCCUUCCAACUGAAUGUCCCUCCCUUCUACUUCCUGUGUGUCUCUCUAUCUGCCCUCCUGACUUCCUCUCACUCUCUCUGGUUUUUUUCCUGUGUUCACUCUCUUUUAACUGGUUGCUUGGCUGGCCUCUUGACCUGUCUUUGACUUUAUUUAACUCUUGUUUCCCGGAAAGCUCUUGGAUUAAAGGUGUGUGCUAGGGCUGAGUCACACCACAACAAGAAACAAUUUUUUUCUAGUUCACAAUCUCUGGGUUCACAAUGUAAUCAAAUAUCCUUCGACACCUGGAAUACAGAGCCAGGACCUCAAUGCGUGGGUGUCAGGAUCCAUGUGAAGUUUGUCAUUUGGCUGGUUGGUUGGUUUUGCAUAGCCAGGAGCUCAAUGAUUUUCAUCAGAAUGGAGAGAAUAGUGGGUGUAAGAGAAAGAUCUUCUACUAAGUCCUCAGAAUAAGGUUAGCUUUCAGUCCUACCUGUGGAGAGGGUGGGAAGACUAACAGGCAUGGUCCACUAUGUCUCAAGAAUAUGCUAGAAUUUUUAUUUACUCCUUAUGGAAGAUUUAUUACAGAUUUCUCUACCAAGAAUCAAGCUCAAUAUGCGGGUGGAGAGAUGGCUUGUAGACGACCCAGGUUCAAUUCUUAGCACCCACAGGGUGGAUCAUAACUGUCUGUAAUUCUAGUUCUGAAAGACAAUACCUUCUUGCAGCACUUAUGGUCAAAAAGAAGAAAAAAAAAAAAAAAGUCAGGUCCAAGCCAGGCAUGGGGGUGCAUGUCUGUUGUCUCAGCACCUGGGAGGCAGACGCAAGAAGAUCAGGAAUUCAUGGUCACAUGUGAUGACACAGCAAGUUUCAAGGGAGGGAGGGAGGGAGAGAAGAAAGGAGGAAAGAAAGAAAAAAAGAGAGAAAGAAAGAGCUCAUGGAUAUGAACCAGUGAGUUUGGGGUCUGAUACUCAAACCCAGGUCUCCGUCAUCUCUAAGGUCACAUUGUCACCAGUGCCUUGCUAUAGACACUUGCAAAAGUGGACCCAGGGCCUGAAAAACUCCUUGGUCAGUGUCUAGAAGUAAAAAAUGUCAGAAAGAAGGUCACACAGGCAGGGUCUAUUUUUAAUCUGGAUGUGGAGCCAGAAUCUCCCGGGCUAAGGUCAUCGAGGAGGAAGAGGAUCCGCUCUUACCCCUGCAGGGCCCAGAGUUCUGCCCUGUCUCAGAGCUUACUCACAUCAGGUUUCAGGCAGCAUGUGCAAUGAAUGACUGCCAACAACAGAAGUCAUCAGGAAAGCCAAUAAAGAUGUCACAGAUCUGGCAAGAACAAGAAAUAGCUCAGGUGCGGUACUCGGAGGCCAAGGGCAGGCGUUCCUUCAGGUCAUGGAUGAAUCAGCCUGGCAGCCACUCAUCCUUCGACUGGGAUCAAAGGUACAGCCAGCGCACACUCAGAGGAUGCCUUCAAAGGAUGCGUACUAAUUAAAGCAUUUACGGAGCCAGUAUCCACUCUGGUGGGCUAAGCACGCUCCUCUGCUAUUUGGGACGGCAGUGUUGCCUUCCACGCUAGCCACGCCAAUCAGAUUCCUUCUUGAGGAGACGCUCACAGGAUGGUAGGUAGCCCUGGUUCUCUUAGCUCAUCAGAGGGACCUAGAAGGUCAUUGGAGACCUGAGGACACAAUCUGCGGCAGGAAUAGAGUUCCUCUGGAAAUGGAGAAAACUGCCUUAGCAGGAAAUAGAUUGAAGAAACUGAAAGAAUAAAGAGGAGCUGCCUCGGUGGGUGCCACAGACCAGGCUCAGUCGGGCCCCCCUCAAUCCAUGGGAAUCAGGGUCUCGGACAGAUGGGCAUAGAGUUGGCGAAAAUGGGGUGACAAACAGCCAGGACACAAGAGAGUGUGAUGAAUCUGAAUGUAAUUUGUCAAAUCGAGCAUCAAACUGUUUUAUACAGAAGAAAAUAGGGAAGUUAGGUGACACAUCGGCAAGGUACAAUGAGGUUACCGGAUGCUUAAUGACUCUAACACAAAACAGAGGAACGCAAACACAAAGACUGGAAAGAACUGGGCAAUAAAACAACAGAGACAAAGUCAGCUCUAUCUAAGGUCAGCUAUAGUCAUAGAAGCCAGGUGUGAGGUCUUUACACUCCCAGGGCAAGGGCUUUCACGCCCAAGUCUCUAAUUAGGGAGUUCCGCUCUAGCUAACCAUCUCAUGAAUAAUGCAAUACUCUAAAACCACCGCCCGAUCUACUUCCUAAACCAUUGUAAAUUCCUGUAUAUGGGAGCAACUUGGCUUUUAUUCUAAGUGAUAGUGUGGGGGGACUUUCUACUAAUAAGUAAUGUAGUCUGCCAUACAUAACUAUAAUAAGAAUUCUAAACUUACAUUGCUAAGCUUGCCCUGAGAUUUCUAACUCUAUUUAGUAGAUAGUAAUGUCUGAUUUCUUUCACUAUCUCUCUUACAAUACUAGAGGCAAUUCUGAAUGUCACUGAAUCGGCAACAUUCUUACUGAAUUCCAAGCCCAGGGUCAGCUCAAGGACUACCUAGGGCAUUGAUGAAGGCCAGGAAGCAAAGUUCGAUUUUGCUUAGGUAUUUGGCAAGUCAUUGCUUGGAGGCACCUAUAACAAAACAAUACUGAAAGGAAGCACACAGAUCCAUUCCCAAGGACAAAAUUGGAGCAUACGUGCUAUGGGAUGCCACAGUUCCAGGAUACUAAGUUUCCGUGAAACUCUUUGUCUCAGGACUGCAUCCAGGCUUUUGGCCUGUCAUGUGUGUCACUACUGGAGUGGAUGUAGCAGGUGGGGAAGCACUAACACCUGGAGAGUUGGCCCUCACAUCUGGAUGCUUGCUGAGCACUGCCUUCUGGAAAUGAAAGACAGAUCAGUAGAUAUUAAUUUGAAAAACUGUGUGUGUUCAAGGGAUGGUUGUUAUGAGGUCCUUGAAGGUUUCCCUCAACACAAAUCUUCACCAUUCAUUCACACACAGAUCAUCCAUUUGUAGUUUUAAUUGUUUAUUUUAUAUGAGUAUAUCGUAGCUGUCUUCAGUCAUACCAGAAGAGGG
rnacentral:lncRNA from 1 species